rnacentral:rRNA from 1 species
UGGGGAAUAUUGGACAAUGGGGGGAACCCUGAUCCAGCCAUGCCGCGUGUGUGAAGAAGGCCUUAUGGUUGUAAAGCACUUUAAGCGAGGAGGAGGGUACUGGUAUUAAUACUACCAGCUACUGGACGUUACUCGCAGAAUAAGCACCGGCUAACUCUGUGCCAGCAGCCGCGGUAAUACAGAGGGUGCGAGCGUUAAUCGGAUUUACUGGGCGUAAAGCGUGCGUAGGCGGCUAAUUGAGUCGGAUGUGAAAUCCCCGAGCUUAACUUGGGAAUUGCAUUCGAUACUGGUUAGCUAGAGUGUGGGAGAGGAUGGUAGAAUUCCAGGUGUAGCGGUGAAAUGCGUAGAGAUCUGGAGGAAUACCGAUGGCGAAGGCAGCCAUCUGGCCUAACACUGACGCUGAGGUACGAAAGCAUGGGGAGCAAAAAGG